rnacentral:misc_RNA from 1 species
GCUCUGUUAACACCUCGCAAUCUUAUCUAGUGUAUCCAAAGAUGAAAGGGGCGUAACUCUUAUGGCAACCAUUCGGAGAGCCAUCUUAUGUUUCGGCAGACGUUAUUUUGUUUAAAAGAAUAUUGUCUCUUUUUUAAGCCGUAAGAUUAUAGUGACAAAAAUCACCUUACCCAAGAGGUAACAGCUUUCUGGAGAGCUUAUAAGCAGAUUUUAUAUAUAUAUAAAAAAAGAACUUGUAGAAAGGAUAAAGUCCUAGGAUUGGGAUAUUCCUCGAGAGAGGAAGUCAGCCUCUUAAAGAAGACAGCAAUUUAAAAGAAUACAUCACAGGGGAAGCUAUCCCACCCAUCCGAGGCAUACAGUUCCCGAAAAAGUUAUAUGCUAGGAAGUUUCAAGGCAAAUGGCUUCUAAAGACAAAGCUAGUCUCAUAAAUGCCAAUGCCAAGGCAACCAAAGACGAAACUAUACUCAUCCAGGUUAAUGGAGUACCUGUGGACACGGUCCUCAUAGACAGAGGGUCACUCCCAAUCACGGGAGCGCGCAAGCUGCUCAAGCUACGCAAACCCCUGACUGCACGGAGAUUUAGGAAAACAACCAUAAACAUCCCAGCGGAAUUCCUCGCCAUCGUCAAGGGAAUGACCCUUCAGACGAAAUCAUCCUCCCAGGGGAAUAAAGUGAAACUUAGUCAGCCCAUGCUUGAGCAACUCCGUCUGUUGUUUUCUAGAGCGCAGAAAGAGUUUCACCUGCCCGUCUCGCUGGAAGUGUUCACCCUUAUGCUGGAGAGUUGUGGAAUCGAGAAAGAGGCAGCCUCGCGGCUGUUCGCCACAAUUGACUGGCCGGCGGCGGGCCUGAUUUCGUGGGACGAGUUGUGCACCUACCUCUACCUGGAGCUGACACAGGAGGAGUACAUGUUGAUGCGAGCAUGUCGAGUGGAGCUGUACGAGCCCCCCAUCCGCAAAAACUUGCCCCACAGGGAUCCUGCCAUAGCUCUGGCCAGAGUUCAUGAUGGCUUCUGGGUUAUCUGCAGCCAGAUGGGUACGCUCACCUUAUGGUCCUCCACCUUGAAAGUGGUUCGUCAAGCAUUUUGCGUGAGCGAGUCAAGAAACUGUAAUAGAUUGGCGAAGAAGUGGAUAACUGGAAUGGUCCUGAUGCCGGAGUACAGCAAGGUUAUCCUGACAACUGGAGAUCGGGAAAUCCAGUUUUUCGACUCAAGCUCAUUCCGACCGUUCUGUCAGUUGAGCGGCCUGAGGACACAGCCAAUGGCUGUGCAUUACGGCUCUUUGGGAGAAGGUAAAUGCAUCAUUGUGUACGGUGACCAGGCUGGCUGCGUAUCCGUGCUGACCUUUAAGAAAAUGGGCUCGUCAUUCAGGUAUUGGCACAAGGCGCCUCUGUACGAAGGUUUCAUCCCUAGCGUCCUGCUGGACCACGCAGUGGAGGAAGAGAGGAUAGACUUCACGUGCUGGCACGUGCACAAUGACUGGGUAGACAUGGUGCGCUACUACCCCGAGACUGACCAGGUCGUGUCCUGCUCGUCAGAUAUCAAUGCGUCGCUCGUGAUUGGGAGACGAAGAGCCAGCACCAACGUCCAGCAGGCUAUGGGUGAACAGCCGUCCAGAACCAAGUUUCUUGAGGCCAACGCCGUCCCCCAGCCACGGGCUCCGCAUGACCAACUGGUGUUCGGGGUAUUCUUGGGGGUCAGCUGCUUCGACUUCAACUAUGAGAUGAAAAUUGUGGCCACUGGAGGAACGGAUCACCAUAUCCGCUUGUGGAACUGCUACUUUACAAAGUCCCCCAUUGCAACACUGCGGGGUCACUACACGCCUAUUUUCUACCUCAUAAUCUGUGGCAACACAAAGCGGCUGUAUAGCGUCUCUAAGGAUAAGUGGGUCAAGGUAUGGGACGUGGUGCAGCACACGUGCAUACAGACCUUACCCUGGCACGUUCUCCAUCUGACCGGGGAGCUCAACGCGGUGGCCUUCAGCUGUGAGUCCGGGUCCCUGGCGCUGGUGGGCGAAAACAUGGUUAAGCUGAAGCUCAGGGCCAGGAAGGACGUGAAAGAGCGCUUCGUGAAGUCACAUGACAGCCCCGUGACAUGUUGCUGUUACAGCGAGGCGCUUAAGCAAGUCAUCACAGCCUGCGAGGGUUCGGUGGUAAAAACCUGGAACUUGGAGACAGGUCUCCUGGAGUCGGAGUUCAGAGAUGCCCAUGACAGCCAAGGCGUGGCCAGCAUGACCUUAGACCCUUUGGGCAGACGACUGAUCACGGUUGGGAGGGACGGAACGGGGAGGAUUUGGAACCACAACAACGGCCAGCGACUGAACGAACUACAACCUCAUGGCAGAUCGGCUCCUUUGACCACAGUCACCUACGUCGACAUAUACAAAGAAGGGUUUAUACUGACUGCUGGCUGGAAUCGGCGAAUCAACGUGUACCACGACGACAUCGACUCCAACACUUUCAUUCUUCCCCUGAUUCCCAACUUCACCAAGGACGUGGCGAAAAAAGGUCACAGGGAAGACGUCCUGUGCAGUGACUUCUGUCCACCUAAGUGGAUCGCCACGGGAGGGUUCGAUGGACUGGUUAUGAUAUGGGACAAGGAGAAGAGUCAACGCGAUUUUGUUCUCUGUGCUCCCCUUCCACCCGACCUUGAACCCGAAAAUGAACAAGAUAAGGGCGUGAACUGCUUGGCUUUUCUCAAGCAACGAGUAAAACGACGGUUGCCAGGGACGCUGGUGGUCGGUGGUCCUUAUGGUUACGUGCACAUCUGGGACGCCAUCUACAAGGCCUCCUUGGUGGCACAGUUUGGACUGAGCUGGCUUGCUGGGAGGCUCACCUGAAAGCAGUGACGGACCUCAAGGCGGUGCUCGAGCACCCCUACCUCGUUUCCUGCUCCGUCGAUGGUUGCGUGCGUCUGUGGACGAUCCAAGGCCACCUGAUCGGCACCUUUGGGCAGCGGCAGCUUUGGGACUUGAAAGACGAGUCAACUUUCAGGCAUCCGCGAAUUCCCUCUGAUAUCUGGGAUGCCUUUUACGAAAUAGAAUUCCAAAAUUCCGAGGAGACCAAAGCUGAAGAGUGCU